UAGAAUUUGGAACAAGGACUGCGGUUGGCAUAUUGUUUGUGGAACGAGGUAUACAAAAAGAAACACGAUUGUGGUAACCUUGAACUGCUUGUUUUCUUUUAUUCUUUUGUGGGCUUAAAGAAGGGUUACACAGAAGAAGAAAAAUGGGCUUUUGCAAUCUAAAUGAAGCUGUGAAAUGUACACGUAGUAAAUCUGAGUUUACAUAUAAGGUGCAUGUGCGUUCAUAAUGUAUUGCUGUGUUUAGAAAGCUACCGAGGAAAUGUAUAAGGAGCCGUCAGGUUUCCGUGCAGUACAGAUUGGGAACUGCUGCUCUAGAGUUGAAGCCAGCUGUAUAUGACACGACAGAUGAUACUUGAAUUAUAGUUACUUAUAUAUCUCAAAAUUCGGAAAAGAAACUGUAUUCUACAAUGACUGGUACAAUGGUUGAAGAAAAUGCAAAACGCGAAAAACUUGAGUUCAGAAAUUUAUCUGUGGCAACAAAUAAACCGUUAAUAGAGGGUGGGUGGUAUUAUAAUCUCCAACUGACGAAAAUCACUGAUGAAUUAAUUCCCUGGCGCAAAAAUUGAUGGGAUGUAGCAUAAUAUCUCUAAAACUAACACUUAAUAGUCAUUGGCACACAUAUAAGCUGUAAGAGUUGAUUAUUUUUACAAGCACUAUUUCUUUCAGGUAAACAGGAAAAUGAAAAAUUGUCAUUGCAAACAAUAAACUGUUAAAAAAGGAAUAAUGUUUUUAAAAUCAAAAAGAUCUUGAUUGUAUUUGCAGAACGUAAAUGGGACAGUCAUAAGUAAUAAAGAAAAGUG